rnacentral:rRNA from 1 species
CCUACGGGUGGCAGCAGUCGAGAAUCAUUCACAAUGGGGGAAACCCUGAUGGUGCGACGCCGCGUGGGGGAAUGAAGGUCUUCGGAUUGUAAACCCCUGUCAUGUGGGAGCAAAUUAAAAAGAUAGUACCACAAGAGGAAGAGACGGCCAACUCUGUGCCAGCAGCCGCGGUAAUACAGAGGUCUCAAGCGUUGUUCGGAAGCACUGGGCGUAAGGCGUGCGUAGGCUGUUUCGUAAGUCGUGUGUGAAAGGCGCGGGCUCAACCCGCGGACGGCACAUGAUACUGCGAGACUAGAGUAAUGGAGGGGGAACCGGAAUUCUCGGUGUAGCAGUGAAAUGCGUAGAUAUCGAGAGGAACACUCGUGGCGAAGGCGGGUUCCUGGACAUUAACUGACGCUGAGGCACGAAGGCCAGGGGAGCGAAAGGGAUUAGAUACCCUAGUAGUC